UGGAGAUAGUUACUUAUGCUGCUUUUACUGUUCUCUGUCAAUUCAAAGGUUGAUUCAAAGCUGGGGAGCUGCAGCUGCCUUUGUGACCACCAGGUGACGACACAGACUCAGGCACAGGGACCAAUCGAAACCUGAUUAACCAAACCUCACAUGUGCAAAAGGAUCAAUCCUUAGCAUUCGUGGGGGCUGUGAAGUGUGGAGACCACCCAGCUGAGUACACACCCCAGUCCUCCAAAGACACAACCCUUCUCAGGACCCCAGCUGCUAUCAGCAGUUCCCAUGAUGCUAAACUCAGUCCCAAGUCGGUGUGGAGGAAUGGCCUUCUCACUCUGCGCUGGAUACUAGGAAGAGACCCGCUAAUGUCCUACUCAGCACUGAGUCAUGGCAGGGAGCACCGGAGGCCAAUACAUAGUUGGAGAGCAGCAGUUGGCUCUUUAUCAGCACUCAAACAAGACAGUAAUUCAUCAUGUGCUAUAUUUGUUGGACAAAGCUGUUUGCUUGUUUGUGUGCCCAUAUAGUGGCAGUAAUGUGGACUAACCCUCCCUGAUUCCUACACAUGCAGGGAGGGUGGUGACUAUAUCAAGUUCUCCUAGUGAGUGUUUGAUGGUGCUAAAUUAUGAGCUGUCCCUCUCCUUCUUACAACAUGUCUGUCAUAUCACGAGCCAUUUGAACCGAGCGAUACGUGCACUUCCAAGAACCAGUAAAUCAGGGGUUCAAACGCUGACUGAUGUUUCACACUGACACAGUACAUUGUAGCCGUGCCUCCCUUGGCCGCAGGAUCCUCGCCAGGAAAGUGCAACAGACAAAAAGCAGUGAUUGGAUGAUAUGCUGCUGAAGCAGGUCUGCAGGGUCGCCUGUAACAUAUGAAUUCUCUGCUUGAAUUACUCUAGAGAUUGUACCAGAUUUACUGGGUUAUGGUUUGCGAGUCCCUCGCCUGCCUCUCCACUCUCUGCACAGCAACGUCUAAUUUAAUUCCCUGUGACACAUCGUUUACAAGGGCCAAGUCCUCUGCGUCCUGGAAGAGCUUCCAUCUUCCCUGCAUCCUGUGUGUGUGCGUGUGUGUGUGUGUGUGUGUGUGUGUGUGUGUGUGUGUGUGUGUGUGUGUGAGUGUGUGUGUGUGUGUGUGUGUGUGUGUGGUCCAGGUAUUACUCAUGCUGUGGGGACCGAAGUCUUUUUACAGAGUCACAUUAUAGGGACGUGUCCUAGUUAUUAGACAAAACAAGGCCCCAUUGUUCAAAUUUUAGUUGAAGAGAUGGUUUAAGGGUAGGGUUAGGUUAGCUUCAGAGUUAGGUUAAGGUGAGAGUACGGCUCAAGUUUGUGGUUAGGGUAAGGAUAGGUUUAGGUUUAGAUUUGGGUUUAUGUUUAGGUUUAGGUUUAGGGUUAUGGUAAGGCUAAGUUUAGGUUAAGGGUUAUGUGAAGGUUAGAGUAAGGUAAGUUUAGGUUUAGGUUAGUUUUAAAUUCAAGUUAAGAUUUAAGUAAGUCUCACAUAAGUCUGGAUGUCCAUUGAGCCAUAGAGACAUGUGUGUGUGUGUGUGUGUGUGUGUGUGUGUGUGUGUGUGUGUGUGUGUGUGUGUGUGUGUGCGUGUAUCCAUGCGUGUAUCUGUGCCCAGCUACCAACUUCUCUUGAGAUCCCAUAUUCAGCUCACAUGUUUCCCGUCCCAGACAACGACUCAGCCACAAACCUCCCCAGCAAAGCACAGAGUCUGUCUGUGUUUUCUGUCUGAACCUAAAGUCAAGCACUGAGUCAAACUCAAAUCACUGACUUCUGUCAAGCUAAACUCAAAGAUUUAGUAGUAGUGGGAAUGGCUUCUGAAUCUGAACAGCAGUUGGGAGGUGGCUGAUGUUGGAGAGUUUUUAACUCACUUGAAAUGAACAACAACUGUUUGUCGGUUUAAUCUAGAGAACUUUCAUAUCUUAAAAUCCAGACCAUAUUUCAUCAAACCCACAAGCCUCCAGUAUCAAAGAGGAUGUCACCAUUCUCUGCUUUCCCUGUGAUGUUGGUCCACAGGGAGUUGAAGUUACAAAAGACAAACUGAACAUCAGGCCAUCAGAGCAGUGGACCUAAAGUAAAAAGCUAAACUUGUUGCUGAGCAUAAUAAGUUUCUGUUUAAUGUCAGAAAGUGUUUUUUUUGUGCUAUAAUUCACGAAGAAAGAUUUCUCUGCCAAAAUCUUGUGGUAUGAUGGAAUGCAGAGAUGAGCCUGACUUUGUUUUUAAAGUUUGACUUGUGUUUUCAACUCCUGGUUAUGAUACAUUACUUUGAAGCUUCUGUUAUCAUUGUUUUACUCAACAAUUGCCUCAGUUAUUAUGCAUCUCUAUGCGAAAGGGGUUGUUUGGUGCAAAUAAAAAACUUAGAAUAACCUACUGACUGCC